UACGAGCUAGAUUGGGAUGUGGGCUUAUUAGUGAAACCUGGAGCCCAACCAAAGAAGGGAAGGGAUGGUACCUGAGAAGGAGAGGAACUGAGAAGGAGGGGCAAUCUUUGCUAGGACGAGGGUUGUCGGCGUGCGAUUCUAGCUGCAGGAGAGCUUCUGGCGAUAAGGAAAGGAAAGUAGAUUCCUCUUGUAGGUGGGAGAGAUGGCACCAAGGAUGUAAUAGGGGGUGUGGAGGUGGAGUAGCUGAGGAGAUGAGAUGAAUUGCAAAGCACACUAUCCGGGGUCCCUAGAGCACGUUAUACCAUUUAGUCUUUCAAACUGCUAUGUGGAUAUGAGUUGGAAACUAUUUGUUUGCUUACCUUAGUAUGAGCUCAUAAAAUUGUCAUUUGAACGAUAUAUGUCCAAAUUUGAGGCUUACUUGUGAUGCAAGAUUUCCUUUUUAAA